CCUAUGGGGGGCUGCAGUAGGGAAUAUUGGUUAAUGGGCGAAAGCCUGACCCAGCAACGCCGCGUGAACGAUGAAGGCCUUCGGGUUGUAAAGUUCUUUUUACAGGGAUGAGGAAGGACAGUACCUGUAGAAUAAGUCUCGGCUAACUACGUGCCAGCAGCCGCGGUAACACGUAGGAGACGAGCGUUAUCCGGAUUUACUGGGUGUAAAGCGCGUGCAGGCGGUAUGGUAAGUUGGAUGUGAAAGCUCCUGGCUUAACUGGGAGAGGUCGUUCAAAACUACCAGACUAGAGGACAGCAGAGGGGAGUGGAAUUCCGAGUGUAGCGGUAAAAUGCAUAGAUAUUCGGAAGAACACCAGUGGCGAAGGCGGCUCUCUGGGCUGUACCUGACGCUCAGACGCGAAAGCUAGGGUAGCAAACGGGAUUAGAUACCCUGGUAGUC
rnacentral:rRNA from 1 species